rnacentral:rRNA from 1 species
GGAACACGCCGCGUGAGUGAUGAAGGUUUUCGGAUCGUAAAGCUCUGUUGUUAGGGAAGAACAAGUACCUGUUGAAUAAGCAGGUACCUUGACGGUACCUAACCAGAAAGCCACGGCUAACUACGUGCCAGCAGCCGCGGUAAUACGUAGGUGGCAAGCGUUGUCCGGAAUUAUUGGGCGUAAAGCGCGCGCAGGCGGUUCCUUAAGUCUGAUGUGAAAGCCCACGGCUCAACCGUGGAGGGUCAUUGGAAACUGGGGAACUUGAGUGCAGAAGAGGAGAGCGGAAUUCCACGUGUAGCGGUGAAAUGCGUAGAGAUGUGGAGGAACACCAGUGGCGAAGGCGGCUCUCUGGUCUGUAACUGACGCUGAGGCGCGAAAGCGUGGGGAGCGAACAGGAUUAGAUACCCCGGUAGAA